CAAGACUGUUCACACUCCAGAGCUCCAGCUUCCUCUCCCAAGAACAAACCCCUCUAGGAUCCCCUUAGGGGCAUGGGCCCAACCUCAGCCAAGACAGACAGAGGAGAAGCAGCCACAGAAAUUCAGGCUCCGAGAGACCAAGGCAUACCCGUGGAUGAUGACAAAACUCCAACUACUACGUGGGUCUCCUGUGUCCCAGGACCUCCCCAGGGAGAAAGCCAGGCCAACCCCCAGGGAAGAAUUCACUGGACAAGGAGCUAGAUUUGGAGAGUGGCUGGGGAAUCUGCUUGAUAGGCUCCCUCUUCCUCUCCCUCUGCCCCCUCUCCCCCCAGCUGGCACACAUGGGCUCUCUCUCUC